GCGCGAUUUACAACGCGAUGCAAGUGCUUCUUAUGAAGUGUGAGAAUCGGGAAGUUCUUGUGCAUGAAGCAAGACUUUAAGUUUAAAAUCACAAUGGAGCCACUGAGCAGUGAGACUAAGCGUACUCGUCAGACUUACAUCUGAAGACCAAACAUCUGUGGUGAAGUUCAUCGCGGAGUGGUUAUGAAGAAGCUCGUGAAUAUGAUCUGCCAUACGGUUGUAUAACUCCGAAAUCAACUCUGAUAGUGUCACCCCUUUGGUGGAACGCACCAUUAGGAGUGACUGAUCUAGAUCAGACUGAGCGACUUUCCAGUAUCGGCAGAAGAUGGUCGGUGAGGAUGCAUCAUCUUCAGUCCUGGAUUUCUUCCCUCGUUUCCUUGCUGUAUCUGGAUUGAUCGACCAGGAUUUCUCCAUGAUGUUUGUUGACGAAGUGUCUCAGAAGUUCCUGGCAAAGUGGUCAACAUUCUUCAAGCCAAAAAUCAUUGCACACUGCAAGACUCUUAAGAAUAUGGGCGAGCUGCUGUCAGGAACUGAACCUGAACCUGAGGACUACAAUGUGAUGUGUCCUCAAUCCUUUUGCUGCUGCAUCUGUUCCCUCUAACCUCAAGAGGCCAGGAAAAAAACAUCCAAGAUCAGUUCAGCUCAAGCAACCAGCCAUCUUGUGAGCUGUCUUAAGGAAGGAGCCAGUGUGACUACCUUCAUUGAGAGUGCUGACACAAGACAACCAUUUCUCCUCUGCAUCGGUGAGCAAAAGAAGGACAUCAGAAGUUCUACGUUAUCAACCAAAAGGCGAACCCAUGAAGCUGCAUUAAUCACGAUGAACCCAGGCUAUGCAGGCAGGACCGAGCUCCAGGACAACCUGGAGGCCCGCUUCAGAUCCGUCUCCAUGAUUGUACCCGACCACGCCGUCAUCGCAGAGAUGUGCUCUGGUGCCGUCAUUCAUUACAUUUUGUAAUGAACGCAAUAACGGAUGUAUUCUGGCGUAUUACAGAACCGUUUCCACGUUGAACCCGCUUGUUCACGUUGUAGGUGGACUUGUGAGCUGAGGGCUUCAAGUCCAGUGAGACUCUGGCGAGGAAGAUGAUUCAGCUGUAUAAGCUGUGCAGCAAGCAGCUUUCCCAGCAGGACCACUACGACUUCAGCAUGAGAGCCAUGUUCUGUUAUCGCCAUGGCCGGGUCUCUGAAGCGAGAGAACCCACACCUGAGAACGUGGUGUUGAUUAGAGCGCUACGAUACUCCAACCUGACCAAGUUACUCAAGGAUGUUGCAGAACUUAAAAUAAUAUAAAUUGAUAAAUAGUAAAGAACGCCAAAGCUUACAUAUGGAGUAUCAAAGGUCAUUAUCACAGGAUCACUGGAAUCAGGCACUAGGAGGAAAUUCCAGGACAAAUUAGGAAAUACAGUCAAACCUUGGACUGCGAGUAACUUGGUUUGCGAGUGUUUUGCAAGACAAACAAAAAAUUUGAAUAAAUUUUAACGUGAUAUACGAGCGAGGUCUUGCAAUACGAGUACCUGUAGUACGUAUAUGAUGCUUUGUCGAGCGUCACGUGAUCACUACUGAGCUGAUGAUUCUUCUCUCACAUGCUCUGUCUCAGUCAGCGUGCCUCGUUGACUUGUAUAGUCAACAUCUGUGUGAGCAUAUACUGUUUGCUAUAGUGCUGUAACUGUUGUGACUGUGUAGUAAAUGUGCUGCGACAAUGGCACCAUGAAGAAAAAAUUUGAAAAGGAAGGCGAUAAGAAAAAGGAGAUUAUGGUGGAACUUAAGAAGGAAAUCAUCGAGAAGCACAAACAAGGUAUGCGAGUAGCUGAGUUGCGAGUAGUCAGUUGUCGAUGAAAUUGUGUCCUUGGGAAAGACCAUGGGACUGGAGAUGAAUGAAGAUGACAUUCAAGAGCUGGUGGAGGAACAUGGCCAGGAGCUGACUACCGAUGAACUGAUGGAUCUGCAUCACGAGCAACAGCAAGAGGUUAUGGGGGAGGUCUCGUCUGAGGAGGAGGAGGAGGAGGAGAAAAGACGGAGAAAUCCCUCACUUCAAAUGAGAUUAGGGAGGUGUGUAAAAUGUGGGAAACAGCGCAAAAUUUUGUAGAAAAGCACCACCCGAGUAAGACUGUAGCAGUGCGAGCAAUGAAUCUGUUUAACGACAAUGUAAUGUCACAUUUCCGCGAAAUCCUUAAAAGGAGGUAAAAGCAAGUGUCACUGGAUAGGUUCCUUGUUAACGUCGUACAAAAAGAAAAAGAUUCCGGCGAGCCAACAGACAGCAGUGAUUCCAUUAGUAACAGUGAAAGUCCC
ensembl:lncRNA